rnacentral:rRNA from 1 species
GAUAAACGCUAGCGGCAGGCUUAGCACAUGCAAGUCGAGGGGCAGCAUAGAUUGUAGCAAUACAAUUGGUGGCGACCGGCGCACGGGUGCGUAACGCGUAUGCAACCUACCCGUCACAGGGGGAUAAUCCGGAGAAAUCUGGUCUAAUACCCUAUAACAUAUGGAUCGGCAUCGGUUCAUGUUGAAAUUUUCGGAGGUGACGGAUGGGCAUGCGUAGCAUUAGCUUGUUGGUGAGGUAACGGCUCACCAAGGCGACGAUGCUUAGGGGGACUGAGAGGUUUUCCCCCCACACUGGUACUGAGACACGGACCAGACUCCUACGGGAGGCAGCAGUGAGGAAUAUUGGUCAAUGGGCGCAAGCCUGAACCAGCCAUGCCGCGUGCAGGAUGACGGCUCUAUGAGUUGUAAACUGCUUUUGUACGAGGGUAAAGUGGGUUACGUGUAACCUUUUGAAAGUAUCGUACGAAUAAGGAUCGGCUAACUCCGUGCCAGCCGCCGCAGUAA